GAUGAAGAACGUAGUGAAAUGCGAUAAGUAAUGUGAAUUGCAGAAUUCCGUGAAUCAUCGAAUCUUUGAACGCACAUUGCGCCCCCUGGUAUUCCGGGGGGCAUGCCUGUCCGAGCGUCAUUUCUGCCCUCCAGCCCGGCUGGGUGUUGGGCGCUGUCCCCCCGGGGACACGCCCCAAAGGCAGUGGCGGCGCCGCGUCGGGUCCUCGAGCGUAUGGGGCUUUGUCACCCGCUCGGGACGGACUCGUCGGCGCUGGUCUUCCUCCAGGCGACCCUUCGGGGCUCGUCUUCCUUCGGUUGACCUCGGAUCAGGUAGGGUUACCCGCUGAACUUAAGCAUAUCAAUAAGCGGAGGA
rnacentral:misc_RNA from 1 species